rnacentral:rRNA from 1 species
UACGUAGGAUGCAAGCGUUGUCCGGAAUUAUUGGGCGUAAAGAGCGCGCAGGCGGCCCAUCAAGUCAGAUGUGAAAUAACCAGGCUUAACCUGGUGGGGUCAUUUGAAACUGGCGGGCUAGAGUCCAGCAGAGGAUAGCGGAAUUCCCGGUGUAGUGGUGAAAUUCGUAGAUAUUCGCAAGAACACCAGUGGCGAAGGCGGCUAACUGGGCCAUUACUGACGCUGAGGCGCGAAAGCGUGGGGAGCAAACAGG